CGCACACAUCGUCGGACGGCGUGUGUGAUGACGUCAUGUCGCUCGGACGAAAAUAGAACACCUGAGAAAGAUUAUUGAACUUUGUGGACAUUAGUGGAGGUAUAAAGGACUGGGGAAGGAAAGGGGGUUUUAUUAUUCAUUUGAAUCCUGUUACUGGACACUACCAAAGUCCCUGAGGAAGUCCUAUACACGAACGAAAUGAGUAGGACCCCUGGUGGUGACUCAGAG